rnacentral:rRNA from 1 species
UACGAAGGGUGCAAGCGUUGUUCGGAAUUAUUGGGCGUAAAGCGCACGUAGGCGGCUUUGUAAGUCUCACUGUGAAAGUCCGGGGCUCAACCCCGGGAUGCCAGGGGAUACUGCGAGGCUGGAGACAAGCAGAGGUUGGUAGAAUCCCGGGUGUAGCGGUGGAAUGCGUAGAGAUCCGGAGGAAUACCAGAGGCGAAGGCGGCCAACUGGGCUUGUUCUGACGCUGAGGUGCGAAAGCGUGGGGAGCGAACAGG